AAAAAGUAAAAAACAAGAAGCAUAAAACUUUUAAGUCCAAAGUGGAAGAGCUUUUCUUUAAAACUUCUCAUUUGUUUAUUGAUGUUUCUAAUACGUUCCUCUUCAUAUUUUUUUCUAACAUGAAAGCGUCCCGGCCAACUUUCUGUUGUUGUUAGCAGGUCUAAUUUGAAUUUCAAAUAUGAAUUGCUUGAAAAAGCAACAAACUUCUUUGACCCCUCGAGGAAACUGGGCCAAGGGGGAGCUGGUUCUGUGUACAAGGGUACCUUAUCCCAAAAGGAUGGAAAGUUUUACCACUGUUCAAGAACAUUCACCACAACCCCAACAUCUUUACUGAUCCUGACAAGUUUGAUCCCACCAGAUUUGAGGUAGCUCCAAAGGCCAACACAUUCAUUCCAUUUGGCAAUGGAAUCCACUCCUGGCCAAGGAAUGAGCUAGCAAAGCUGGAGAUGCUGGUCCUUCUCCGUCACCUAACCACCAAGUACAGGUAACCAACUCAUUCAAAUAGCACCAACUAUUCAUUGCCUUCCCAUGAUAACAAAAGCUAUUUGUGGAGGGUGAUUUUUGUAUUAUAAUAGGAUUGUGGAGAAGAAACUUCGUGGAAAAAAUAUGCAAAAGAACAUUUACUAGUAGUCAUCAACAACUCAAAGGGUGAUUUCUGUACAAGCCUUUCAUACCAAAACAGAAAAAAUCAGUUAGGAUUAGAUAAUGUGCCCAAAAAUCAUCAGAAGAGAACAUGGGCACAGCUCUACUUUUUAUACAGCUCAAAAUGGUUAGGCUUUCGGUUGGAUGUUAGGCUGCGUCUACCUUAGCCCCAUCCUUAAUGUUAAUCAAUAAAAGUAAUCUGCAUUUU